rnacentral:tRNA from 13 species
AGCCACCAGCGAGAUUCGAACUCGCGACCCUGGUUUACGAGACCAGUGCUCUAACCUCUGAGCUAUGGUGGG